GAGGCAGAGAUAACCGGCUGAAAGAGAGGGAGGCGGAGAGAUGUUUAAGUAGAGGAGAAACGCAGACAGUAAGUCAUCUGCCGGACUGCUGGUCACUGUCCGGACUUCUGAGGGAGCAGACCGCCACCGCUGAGCCCGAAACACGAUGGGAGUGAUUCUCGAAUUUCUGCCACACUAGAGCCCCAACUGUUCCAGUCUCCGCCUGCGUACACCUCCUCGCCACUCCAUAAGACCGCAGAUUUAUUUGAAAUGAUUGAAAAGAUGCAGGGCAGCAGGAUGGAUGAGCAGAGAUACACUUUCCCUCCUCCACUUAAGACAGAGGAGGAUUAUAUUCCGUAUCCAAGUGUCCAUGAGGUGUUGGGCAGAAGAAGCCCCUUUCCACUCAUCCUCCUUCCACAGUUUGGGGGCUACUGGAUUGAAGGCACCAACCACGAGGUGCGUGAGACUGCGGACGUGGAGCAGCUGCAGCCUCUGUCCCCAAACACUCGCACCAAACUGGAAUGUAACACAACAGCUAUACUCUACCGCAAACACUUCCUGGGCAAGGAACACUUUAAUUACUAUUCAGUGGACAAUGCUCUGGGACAUCUGGUGUUCUCUCUGAAGUACGAUGUGAUCGGUGAUCAGGAACAUCUCCGUCUAAUGCUCAGAACCAAACUGAAAACCUACCAUGAUGUUAUCCCCAUCUCAUGUCUGAUAGAGUUUCCCAAUGUGGUUCAAAUGGCGAAGCUUGUCUGUGAAGAGGUCAACGUGGAUCGUUUCUUUCCUGUCCUUUAUCCAAAAGCUUCAGGACUUAUUGUUACCUUUGAUGAGCAUGUGAUAAACAACAAUUUCAAGUUUGGGGUCAUCUAUCAAAAGUUCGGACAGACAUCAGAGGAAGAACUGUUUGGCAACAGUGACGAGAGCCCAGCUUUUGUUGAAUUCCUGGAGUUUCUUGGAGAGAAAAUCGAACUACACAACUUUAAAGGGUUCCGUGGUGGAUUAGACGUGACUCAUGGCCAGACUGGCAUAGAAUCCGUCUAUUGCAACUUUCGCAACAAAGAGGUCAUGUUCCAUGUGUCUACAAAGCUGCCAUACACAGAGGGGGACACCCAGCAGUUGCAGAGAAAAAGGCACAUAGGUAACGACAUUGUGGCCAUUGUAUUCCAAGAGGAAAAUACUCCUUUUGUGCCGGACAUGAUCGCCUCCAAUUUUCUCCACGCCUACAUUGUGGUCCAAGUUGUCAACUCUUGCUCAGACAACGUUCUCUACAAGGUGUCAGUGACAGCACGGGAUGACGUUCCUUUCUUUGGUCCGGCCCUCCCAAACCCGGCUAUCUUUAAAAAAGGUCCUGAAUUCCAUGAAUUCCUUUUUACUAAACUCAUCAAUGCCGAGUACGCCUGCUACAAAGCUGAAAAAUUUGCUAAAUUAGAGGAAAGAACACGCUCGGCCUUGUUAGAGACGCUGUACGAGGAGAUCCACGUGAACAGCCAGACCAUGAUGGGCGUCGGAGGAGAAGAUGACAAACUGGAGAACGGGAGCGGAGGAGGAGGUGGUUUCUUUGAGUCCUUCAAGCGAGCGAUCCGUAACAGGAGCCAGUCUCUGGACGUUGCCGGUCUGACUUUCAAGCGGCAGCACUCUGUGUCCAGCAGCCCCAACGACAACUCUGCAGAGAACCCCAAAUUCCCAGGGAUAUCAUUGCUUGUCCCAGGCAAAAGCCCCAGUAAAUACGGACGUCGUGGCAGUGCCAUAGGGAUAGGAACAGUAGAAGAGUCUUUGAUAAUUCCAGGAAAGAGCCCAACCAGGAAAAAGUCUGGUCCUUUCGGCUCCAGGCGAAGCAGCGCAAUCGGAAUUGAAAACAUUCAGGAGGUCCAUGAAAGGAGUAGGGAAACUUCCCCAAAUACCCAGAAGACCCCUGACAGUGGUCACGUCUCUCAAGAUCCCAAAUCUGACAACUCAUCCAACCAGAGCUCUCCUGAAGUGCUCACAACUGCCAAAAACAGUUCUUAUCUGUCUGGCAGGACGCCAUCCAUCCCCGAGGGCCACAACCUUUCCCGUUCCUCAUCCAAUGCCAGCAGCUUUGCCAGUGUGGUGGAGGAGAAUGAGACGGAGGCCACAGAAGACUAUGACACCGGCAUGGAGAGUCUGUCAUCUGCUGGGACGCCACACAAGCAAGAGUCAUUAAACUACAACACGUGGCUGGAGGACGGUAUCAGCAGCAUCAGCACCACCAGUCGUGGAGGCUCUCCGGGUGAGAUGGGAGGCACAGGGCCGGCAAGUUGUCACAAACCACAGGUGCUGGUAAACCAGAACGAGGGAAGGCCACAGACAUUCGUAUAAAACUAGAACGACCGCAUGAUCAUCAGUCCUCAUCGAACUGUUAGCUCCACUCACUUGGUUGUAUCCUGGAUCUCCAUCUUAAGCAUUCCCAUAAGUUGCAAUCCUACUGGGAGACGAGUGUUGCCAUCUGCUAUGGCAGAGCUUGAGGAAGAGGAGAAAGCUGCUGGAUCUGGGCCAGUUUGUUGCUUAGUGAGGCCAACGUGUACAGAAACAUGGAGGAGUCCAGAGGAGAUGAUGCGCAGAAAGAGGCCAGCAUUUAGGCAGUGUUGUUUCCUUUCAGUCUUUCCUUUGCCUGUUCACACAACUGGUGCAGCGUUACAUGUUCACUUUUUUCUCUGCACAUUAAAUACAGUAGUUGUGGGG